CACAGGCACGCCUGGGCCUCUUCACCGUUUUCGACCUCCCCUGGCUCGUGUGGGCAUAAAUAAGUGGAGAAAUGCAUGAAAUACAUGCUUCUAGGGUCAAGAAUAAACUAUGUAUUUGUGUCUUUGUCGGAAAGGCUCCCAUGGGGCAAUCCUCCUAAGCACUGGGAUUGCCUGCUUGGCAGCAAGGAGGCUUAUAAAAAGCAACUCCAGGUGGAAGUGGGCCUUUUCCUGCUCCUCCCUCCACACUGCUGCAAUUCCCUGUCGUCGAGGCCCUGAGAACAGCCUGCCUUUGAGACUGAGCUGCAAGUGUAAGAAAGGGGUGGCCGCUCGACCGAGAUGCAAUACCUACCUUCAUUUACGUUGAAUCGUGGACAUGUAAAUGUUGCAGGGAAGUUUCUUGUAGGAAGAAACAUGAAAAAUGUAUCAGCUGAUGGUGACCAUACAGCAAGAAAUGUAACUUUAAGGAUUAAGCCUAUGUCUAAAGAAAACAAGUAGCUUUUAUGCAUGGUUACACUUGGUUUCUAGGAAGUUGGCGUGGGUAAGGAUGCGGUCCUGUCUGAGCUUUUUAGCUCCUGUAUAAACAUUUCUUACUGUCUUAUGGACUGAAGGAUGGAAAUGGUAUGUCAUUUAUUAAAUAGAAAAAAAACCUGACUGCACGUGCAGUCUUCUGCCUGAAAAGUCACGUGGGCAGCCUACUACACCAAAGAUUAAACAGUGAAUAUUAAUGCUAAUGCUGUAUAUUAGUGCUAAUGCUGUACCUCUUGCCUUCCAGCCACUGCUUUACAUCUUUUCUGUUAAGUUGUAGAAGCGCAAGUGAAAUUCUGCCUUCUGGGAAGCGGUGGAAUAAUCUGUGUGCUCAGUGCUAAAAAUACGGCGU